UCUGGCAAAUACCUGCAUGCUUUUAGUGCCCCGCCCUCCUUUUCAGGAAGAACUCCUGUUUCUAAUUAACACUCAGCCAAGCGGGAGGUAGCAGUUCUGAGACUCAUUUCUUCUGCCCAAAGCACCAAGGGCUGGCCCUGGAGGGCAGAGCGGAGGGCCCAUCAAGUGGACACCUGGGGUGAAGGGGAGGAGACCCUCCUCCUCCAAAGCAAAGUGCACAGAGAUCAGACCAUUUCCCCCGGGUGCUCUCUGAAAUCUUCGCCUGGAGAUGGCAGGGUUUGAACCUGGGACCUUCAAGAUGCUAAGCGGAUGCGCCACCAUCAAGCUAUGGCACAAGAGUCAGGCACAGAUCAAUAAUUCAGAAAUGACGUCAUGCCCAAGAGAAGCAGAAGAUUUUUCUCAGCUUCAAAUGCACUAUGAUUGAAAUUUACUACGUACAAUAGUUAUUCAGUACAAUGAAUUAUGUUCCAAGUUGACAUCCUGAACAUUUAAAACUAUUCUUGGACUUCCCUUUUGCACGCACAUAAAUACAAAAUUCUGUUACAUAUAUUUACUUGCCUGAACUUUAGCAAGUAAAUUUGAACUCUACACAAAUCUUAUUUAUACACAAAUCUUAUUUAUUUAUUAUU